rnacentral:rRNA from 1 species
GACGAACGCUGGCGGCGUGCUUAACACAUGCAAGUCGAACGGAAAGGCCCUGCUUUUGUGGGGUUCUCGAGUGGCGAACGGGUGUGUAACACGUGAGUAACCCGCCCUUGACUUUGGGAUAACUUCAGGAAACUGGGGCUAACACCGGAUAGGAGCUCCUGCUGCAUGGUGUGGGAUGGAUAGUUUCGGCGGUUGGGGAUGGACUCGCGGCUUAUCAGCUUGUUGGUGGGGUAGUGGCUUACCAAGGCUUUGAGGGGUAGCCGGCCUGAGAGGGUGACCGGCAAAAUUGGGACUGAGAUAGGGCCAAGACUCGAACGGGGGGCAGAAGGGGGAAGAAUGGACAAGGGGGGGGAGGCCUGAGGAGGCAAGGCGGGGUGCGGAAUAAGGGCCUUGGGGUGGAAAACCGCUUUGGCAGGUACGAAGGCGUGAGUGACGGUAAUGGGUAAAGAAGCACCGGCUAACUACGUG